GCAAUUUUCAAUAAAACGACGAUGCGAAGCGUCACCCGGCACCAUUUUGGAGUUCUCUAUAAUUGCGAGCGGAUGCAAGAGAGAGUGCAGUACGAGUGUACAGAUUUCAUUUAGUGCGCUGAAAAGUAGGAAAAUACGAAAGAGUUGUAAAGUAUAGAAGGUAAAAUAUCAUUGAUAAUAUUGUUAGACGUCACAGUACUUGGUGCAUUGAUAAUAUUGUUAGACGUCACAGUACUUGGUGCACAGAAUUACGAAAAGGAUAAUCGACAAGAUAAAAUAUCUGACGCUUAAUAUUGCUAGACGUCACAAUACUUGGUGCCCAGGAUUAAGAGAAGAACAAUCGACGAGGUAAAAAGGGAAUAAAAUA